rnacentral:lncRNA from 1 species
AAAAGGUUUUCAGAUCCGAGUACUUUAACUCGACAUAAAAGAACACCCAUUGGAGACAAACGCGAUGUUUGUAACAAGAGAUUUCCAGAAUCACGCAAGUCAACACGACAUAAAAUAUCAGCACACAAGAGUGAACAGAGUUUUGAGUGUCGUAUCUGCGAGAAAACAUUCACACAACGAAAAAGUCUCAAACGUCACUGGAGAUUACAUUCAAGAGAUGGAUUUUUGUUGUGCAAUACUUGUGGCAGAGAAAUUAGUCAGUCACAAGGAGAAGGACAAGGACAUGCUAAUGAGAUACUGAGUUGUGGUAUAUUCUUCCGAUGUGAUGUCUGUAAGGAAUUGGAAGCAAGAGAAGCAACUGGUAUUGGCUAUAUCUGUUGUGUCUGCGAUGCUGAGUUUGAAAUUGCCACUGAACUUGAAGAUCAUAUGAGUAUGCAUGAUAAUAUGCUGCCCCAGGCAAGAUAAAUUGAAAAUAUUUUUUGUAACAUGUUAUUUUUGAAAUUUAGCUUGAAAUUGAUUUGGGAUUGUUUGAUAUUGAAACGGAGAUUGAUAUUUUGGUGAUUGGUUAAAUACUGAAAAGGAGAUCGAUAUUUUGGUGAUUGGUUAAAUACUGAAAAUGAGAUUGAUAUUUUGGUGAUAAUUGAUUUGUUGAUUCAGGGAUGCAUUUAUAAUUCUUGGUUUGCAAUUGAUGUCAUGGCGGCC